rnacentral:rRNA from 2 species
AAAGAAACCAACCGGGAUUGCCUCAGUAACGGCGAGUGAAGCGGCAAGAGCUCAAAUUUGAAAGCUGGCCCCUCCGGGGUCCGCGUUGUAAUUUGCAGAGGAUGCUUUGGGUGCGGCCCCCGUCUAAGUGCCCUGGAACGGGCCGUCAGAGAGGGUGAGAAUCCCGUCUUGGGCGGGGUGUCCGUGCCCGUGUAAAGCUCCUUCGACGAGUCGAGUUGUUUGGGAAUGCAGCUCUAAAUGGGUGGUAAAUUUCAUCUAAAGCUAAAUACUGGCCGGAGACCGAUAGCGCACAAGUAGAGUGAUCGAAAGAUGAAAAGCACUUUGAAAAGAGAGUUAAACAGCACGUGAAAUUGUUGAAAGGGAAGCGCUUGCGACCAGACUCGCCCUCGGGGUUCAGCCGGCACUCGUGCCGGUGUACUUCCCCGGGGGCGGGCCAGCGUCAGCUUGGGCGGCCGGUCAAAGGCCUCCGGAAUGUAGUGCCCCCCGGGGCACCUUAUAGCCGGAGGUGCAAUGCGGCCAGCCUGGGCUGAGGAACGCGCUUCGGCACGGACGCUGGCAUAAUGGUCGCAAACGAC